UACGUAGGGGGCAAGCGUUGUCCGGAUUCAUUGGGCGUAAAGAGCGUGUAGGCGGCUAGAUAGGUCCGUUGUGAAAACUCGAGGCUCAACCUCGAGACGCCGGUGGAAACCAUCAGGCUAGAGUCCGGAAGAGGAGAGUGGAAUUCCUGGUGUAGCGGUGAAAUGCGCAGAUAUCAGGAAGAACACCCGUGGCUAAGGCGGCUCUCUAGUACGGUACUGACGCUGAGACGCGAAAGCGUGGGGAGCGAACAGG
rnacentral:rRNA from 1 species